rnacentral:rRNA from 1 species
AACGUAGGACGCACGCGAUAUGCGGAGUUACUGGGCGUAAAGAGCGCGCAGGCGGAUGAUUAAGUCGUUUAUGAAAGCCGCUGGCUAAACUGGGGGAGGCUAGACGAUACUGGUUGUCUUGAGUGGGUGAGAGGGAUGUGGAAUUCCGCGUGUAGUGGUGAAAUGCGUAGAGAUGCGGAGGAACACCAGAGGCGAAGGCGGCAUCCUGGCACUCAACUGACGCUGAGGCGAGAAAGCAUGGGUAGCGAACGGG